UUACGGCGAUAUCACGCUGAGGCACCGGUUUCCGUACGAUCACCAAAGUUAAGCACCGUCGAGCCCGGCCAGUACCUAGAUAGGUGACCACUUUGGAAUAGAAGGUGCCGUAAG